rnacentral:piRNA from 1 species
UGUGAGCCACCAUGUGGUUGCUG